UACGGAAGGCAGCAGUGGGGAAUAUUGCACAAUGGGCGCAAGCCUGAUGCAGCCAUGCCGCGUGUAUGAAGAAGGCCUUCGGGUUGUAAAGUACUUUCAGCGGGGAGGAAGGCGGUGGAGUUAAUAGCUUCACCGAUUGACGUUACCCGCAGAAGAAGCACCGGCUAACUCCGUGCCAGCAGCCGCGGUAAUACGGAGGGUGCAAGCGUUAAUCGGAAUUACUGGGCGUAAAGCGCACGCAGGCGGUCUGUCAAGUCGGAUGUGAAAUCCCCGGGCUUAACCUGGGAACUGCAUUCGAAACUGGCAGGCUAGAGUCUUGUAGAGGGGGUAGAAUUCCAGGUGUAGCGGUGAAAUGCGUAGAGAUCUGGAGGAAUACCGGUGGCGAAGGCGGCCCCUGGGACAAAGCUGACGCUCAGGGUGCGAAAGCGUGGGGAGCAAACAGGGAUUAGGAU
rnacentral:rRNA from 1 species